ensembl:lncRNA
UCACAGACCCCUCCACAAGAUUAUAGAAGUAGUAGCAGUCACUGGUCCCAUCCUCUGGUGGGCUCUUUUGGCUGCCUGAAGGAUUUCUAGGAAGCUCCAGGGAUGCUGCUCUUCUCAGGAGUCCUUCUCUGUGCUGGGGUGGGCAUCUUAAGAUUCAGCUGCCUUUGAAUCACCCACAUUUGGAGCUGUUGCUGGUGUUAUUAAAAUUUGAGAGGAAAACAAAUGCAGCUCAGUCCCCUGCUUUGGCAAGAUAUACGGUCCUUUUUGUUUGUUUUUAAAGAAGAAGGAGGAGAAGGGGGAGAAGAAGAAGAGGACAGAAAAGGAAGAGGAGGAGGA